rnacentral:siRNA from 1 species
AACCCGUGGAUAUCCGAUUGGUCC